rnacentral:rRNA from 1 species
CCUACGGGUGGCAGCAGUGGGGAAUAUUGGACAAUGGGCGAAAGCCUGAUCCAGCCAUGCCGCGUGUGUGAAGAAGGCCUUCGGGUUGUAAAGCACUUUCAGUGGGGAAGAAAGCCUUGGGGCUAAUACCCUCGAGGAAGGACAUCACCCACAGAAGAAGCACCGGCUAACUCCGUGCCAGCAGCCGCGGUAAUACGGAGGGUGCGAGCGUUAAUCGGAAUUACUGGGCGUAAAGCGCGCGUAGGCGGUCUGAUAAGCCGGUUGUGAAAGCCCCGGGCUCAACCUGGGAACUGCAUCCGGAACUGUCAGGCUAGAGUGCAGGAGAGGAAGGUAGAAUUCCCGGUGUAGCGGUGAAAUGCGUAGAGAUCGGGAGGAAUACCAGUGGCGAAGGCGGCCUUCUGGACUGACACUGACGCUGAGGUGCGAAAGCGUGGGUAGCAAACAGGAUUAGAUACCCGGGUAGUC